CCCCAACCCCAAAGUAAGAAU
rnacentral:piRNA from 1 species